rnacentral:rRNA from 1 species
CACGUAGUUAGCCGUGGCUUUCUGAUUAGGUACCGUCAAGACGUGCACAGUUACUUACACAUUUGUUCUUCCCUAAUAACAGAGUUUUACGAUCCGAAGACCUUCAUCACUCACGCGGCGUUGCUCCGUCAGGCUUUCUCCCAUUGCGGAAGAUUCCCUACUGCUGCCUCCCGUAGGAGUCUGGACCGUGUCUCAGUUCCAGUGUGGCCGAUCACCCUCUCAGGUCGGCUACGUAUCGUUGCCUUGGUAAGCCAUUACCCCACCAACUAGCUAAUACGGCGCUGGUCCAUCUAUAAGUGAUAGUAAAACCAUCUUUCACUUUAGAACCAUGCGGUUCUAAAAUAUUAUCCGGCAUUAGCCCCGGUUUCCCGGAGUUAUUCCAGUCUUAUAGGUAGGUUACCCACGUGUUACUCACCCGUCCGCCGCUAAACCGUCAAAAAGGAGCAAAGCUCCUUUAGUCUGUUUCGCUUCGACUUGCAUGUAAUUAGGGCCUAACGCCCGCCAGCGUUCAUCCCUAGACGCCCAGGACUCAAAACUC